UACGUAGGGCGCAAGCGUUGUCCGGAUUUAUUGGGCGUAAAGAGCUCGUAGGCGGCUUGUCGCGUCGACUGUGAAAACCCGUGGCUCAACCAUGUGGUCUGCAGUCGAUACGGGCAGGCUACAAUUCGGUAGGGGAGACUGGAAUUCCUGGUGUAGCGGUGAAAUGCGCAGAUAUCAGGAGGAACACCGGUGGCGAAGGCGGGUCUCUGGGCCGAUAUUGACGCUGAGGAGCGAAAGCGUGGGGAGCGAACAGG
rnacentral:rRNA from 1 species